GUGGUUGUGGCUCAGUGGUAGAGCGCUUGCCUAGCAUGCAUGAGGCACUAUGUUCAAUCCCUGGCACCACA
rnacentral:tRNA from 1 species